rnacentral:rRNA from 1 species
UACGUAGGGGGCUAGCGUUGUCCGGAAUCAUUGGGCGUAAAGAGCGUGUAGGCGGCCCGGUAAGUCCGCUGUGAAAGUCGGGGGGCUCAACCCUCGAAUGCCGGUGGAUACUGUCGGGCUAGAGUGCGGAAGAGGCGAGUGGAAUUCCUGGUGUAGCGGUGAAAUGCGCAGAUAUCAGGAGGAACACCGAUUGCGAAGGCAGCUCGCUGGGACGUAACUGACGCUGGAGACGCGAAAGCGUGGGGAGCAAACAGG